GACUUUGCCUCUGAUAUUCACAAAUUAAAAUUUGACUCUACUUCUAAUAUUGACACGCUCCAAUCUGGGUCUGAUACUUCUGACUCGGAUAUUUACACAUUAACAUCUUACUCUACUUCUGAUAUUGACACACUCCAACCUGACUAUGAUACUUCUGGCUCUACUUCUAGUAUUUGCACAAUGACUCUGACUUUCAUACUUCUAACUUUGACAAAAGUCAACACACCUAAAAAGUUCAAUACAUCAUAUUUAAUUUUCCAAAAGUCAAUGCCUCUAAUGAAGGUCAAUGAUUCAGGAAAUUGUGUAUGACUUGGAAAAUGUGAUUUUGAUAAAAUUUAGACGAUUCAUUAUCAGAUUCUGAAACAGACAAAGUUUGCCUCUGAUCCUGAUACCUGCAAAUUUGCCUCUGAUAUUGAUCAUGGAAGAUGUGAAAACUCAUAAAAAUUCUUGGAAAAAUACAAAUAAUGUUCAUGUUAGUUACUACCAAAAUUGCAUCAAAUGUAAAUAUUGGCUAAAGUAUUUUUUAUUGGCAUAAACGGUUUUCAAAUGAAUCAUCACUAACCACGACAAUAAAAAAUUCAAAAUCUGUAGUAACAAUCAAAAGGUGAAACAAGAAGCAUCGCACUAGUUCAAACACGUCAAUUUAGAACUGAACAAAAUGGAAACAAGGAAAUUUUUCAAUUUAUACUGUAAAAGUGAAUGUCAUUUCCAAAAAUGGGACAUCUUGUUGCAACUCAAUAUAAUAGAGUUUUAAUUGAGUGGACGAGAUUUCAAAAUGUAGCUUUCGAAACCUUUCUCCCACUAUGAGGUUGUCCACCUCCAAAUCUAACUUCACAAAAUUUGUGCAUUGAAAGGGUCAACAAAAAUGAUUAUAUUCAUGUAUACUUGAAGGAUUAUUGUCCAAUACCUUUGACAUAUGUAGAAUGGAGAGUGCACCACAAACAAGAAUUAGAAUCAUGGUAGAAUCCAUUUGUUGAAAGUAAGUAUUUGUUUGAUAAACUCAUGGAAAUUGAAAAAGCUUUCCAACCAUUAAAAAAAUCAAACGCUGACAACCCGAUUGAAAUGACAAAUGAAGAUGAUGUCUCUGACCUUGGAAUAGAUUUGUUAAUAUUUAUAGGACUAUUGAACCACAUUAGGAUGCUAUUACAUGUAUAUGAAAUUAUGAGUAUAAUGAAAUGUAUGACAUAUUUUUUGAUAUGACGUUGAAACCAAAUUUUGCAUAUAUAUUGUUUAUGUCAUUUGUAGCACUGCAUAUUGCAUAUUUUUGUUUUUGGGUCUUCAUAUUGCAGAUUUCUGCAAUUUCCUAUCAAAUACAUUACUGGAUCCUAGAAUCUGGUUGUAUACUGAGGUAUUUUUGAAAAGUAAAAUACACUACCAGAUCGAAGACUCU
rnacentral:lncRNA from 1 species